AACAAAACAUUUCCCGACUGAUGGUCUAAAGAGAAUAGUCUCGCACUUUUCGAAAUUUAUGGACAAUGUUCAAUCCUUUGCGUAUAUAGUGACAAUGAUGACCUUUUCCGUAUGGUAGACUAUUAUAUGAUGGGCGAAAUCGAUUGAUUCACUUAUAGAGUUAGGUAAAUCAAAUAUAUAUAAAUUGAAAAAAGUGGAGCUGUGAAUCAACCUAUUUUAUAUGGAGUCAACUCUGUUUACUGCGAUGAUUAUGCAAUCGAUUAAAUAAGCACCGAUGACAGUGAAACAUGUCGUUGAAAGAGACGCGAAGAGACAACACCAAAGAAAAAAUCCACACGCAAACACAGUAAUAGGUACACACAGACACACAUUCAAGUCACGCCAUCGCAUAUGCACAUGCGAACAGAAGUCAUCACCACACUCGUCAUAUAAUUCUCAAUAUAAAUUCGCAUGUUUAUUUAGUUUAAGUGAUUUACUUAACAAUUGAAUUCGAUAAAAUUUUAAAUUUAAAUUUGUACACUAAAACUCCAUUUUUUUUGCUGCCUAUUGGAAAUCGAUCCGUUUCUCUUUGUUUUCUCUGCGCUCUCGUCAAGUGGAUCGCCUCAUCUAUUAAGUCAAAAAUGUCUGACACAAGAUCAAGAAAGAAUGCAGCCUCGAGUCAAGAAGAUGGGGAGUCCUCUCAUAGUGGUAGUUUAAAUUCGACAUUGGUCACCGUGGAGACUAAAACUACUGCCAAAGAGCCAGGAAAACUAUUGUCUGCCACGACAAACACACCGUCGGCACGCUCAGAAGCAGGAGAAGUACAAAAGCCAUUAGAAGCUUGGGCAAUAUACCACCCAUGACAUAAUUACCAGGUAGUGUACCGUAAAGAGCUGAGUACAAUUUUUUCUCGCGAAGUGCACUCCCUGUCAACCAGUUGGUUGUGUAUAUUAUAGUUAAGAACCAUAACACAAACAACGACAAAUGGCGCGAACUAAUAAAAUACACAAAUUCAGAGCUGCACUAAUCACUGAUAGUGUACUCUAUAUUUUGUUGGGCAACUGCCAAUACCUGAAAAUGAAUAUGGCUUGAUACUACCACCAAAGGAGCCACAGCCGGUUACCGAUGAGAUUUUGUUUUCAAUAAUGUCAACAAUGAAUUCGUCGAAGUAUUCAAUAGAUGAAAUGAAAAGGGACACGAGCCAAAAUAAUGCCGCCAUUGCCAUUAUACUGUCCCAAUUCGUGAAAUAGCCAUGUCUGCAAAUGCUGCCAAUGAUUUGCAACAACAGAUGUCGAAAGCAGAAUCAACACAGCCAUCGAUAACGACAACUUUGCAGAAAUCGACUAUUUACACAAAACAAGUGUGAACGCCCAACACAAUCAAAGAAGAACGUUGGCUACACAACAGCCAUCAUCUUACUUUUUGCCUUCAUCACAGAAUGAUUUGUUAUCAGCUGUGCCGAUAGCCGAUCAUCAAUAUCGAUAUAAACGAAUAAAGAAUCCUUUUUCGUUACACAAGCCGCCGUCAGAAGUAGCACCAGCUUUGCAUCCAUUGUCAAAUGUAAACAAUGCAGACGGUGCAACUAAUGAAAUUCGUGUAAGAAAUUGUGAAUUAUUUACGAAGUUGUAUAACUAACCGCACUUCGAUGAAGGCAGCAAGAGACUCCGUGCACAUAUUAUGGAGGAAUUGUGUUUCAACAUUGGACGUCCAGAUAUGCUGAUCAAGUCGCAGCUCGAGAAGAUACAAGCUUUUCCUUCCAUAUCAGAGGGUCGACCUGAUGGUAUUUUGGGUUUGGAAAUGUAUUGUAGUUGCAUUUUUUAAGUCAGCCAAAUGCGACUUGUGUUUCGGAUGUCUGCGUAAAGGCUCUAUUACACGGCAUGUAGUUGUCUUAUGACAGUCAAAAUUAGCACAUUUAGAGUUGUACAUGUCGUGUGAUACAAGUAAUGGCACAGCCAUAAAAACAAACUGGCGAUUGCCUCUUACCAUAUACAACGAAAGAGAAGGAGGAACGCAAUAGGAGUGAAACAAAAUGAAGUGGCGAUCGACGCAAAGGAAAAAAAUGUUUUUUUUUGUUGCUUGAGUUAUUCUGAGGGUGACUUGCUCCUCUUAGCUUUCUCCCUUUUUAGAUUCGAGUGCCGCCUUGUUGUGCGAUUGAGCCGGUGCUUCUUUACGAGCUUGUGCUGCCAUCGACUCUCCCCGAUUCACCAUAAACUCCUGUGAGUGAGAGUCAGAGCCCUCCACAACGGUCAAAACCCCGAAAAUCAUAACAGCAUCGUCAUCACCAUCUAGCUGACCGUCGGCAAAACUUCUUCAUUCUGCUUGCUAUCGCCGCAUCUGUAGAUUCGUUGCCGAAGUUCGACGCGUAGCUUGCAGUUUUCUCUUUCACAAAUAAAAUAAAAUUCAAUACCUCUCGGGAACCGGAGCAAACAAUCUUUUUUUAAUGAACUAUUGAAUUCAAAGGGAUAAAAAUAAACAAAGUUGAAAUUGUAACAA
rnacentral:sRNA from 1 species